CUACUCGGCCAACCGAGGCACUCCAGGGGGCAAACCAAUCGUGAGCGUUGGUUAGUGAUACACAGUAGUUUUUCCUUCCCCGCUUUCUACCUCAGCCGUUCGAUACGAUAAACUUUUUCAUACCGAAUGCCUUUCUUUCUUGGUGCAUGACGGGUGGGCUAGAGCGCGUGCGGGGCCUCCAGCGAAAGGCAGUGGAGUCAGCUCGUUCACGUCGCCCUUCUUCUACCCGUGUGGGGAAGCGGUGAAAACCUAGCGUGGGCACCCCCAAUCCCCGGCCAAUCCCCCACCUCGCCUCCUCCCCCAAUCCGCGCCUCCUUCUCCUCCUCUCCCAGUCCGAUGGCGGUAUCAGGCUGGCAAACGUGGUCAGCAGCAGGAGGAGGAGCUUGUGGAGGUGAGCAGCCGCAGGUCAGCCUUCUUGUCGCGGCCGAGGCGGCACACCUUGAGGAACAGCGCCCGCUCCUCUUCAAGAUAGCUAGGUUUCGCGCGAGGGCAUGGGAUGGAUGUGGAAUGCGGAUGAGUACCGGUAGGAAGAUGAGCCAGAGGAGGAGCACGCGGCAGGCCCUGGAUGGGAGGUUGGCGGCGAUUCAGGCCAAGGCGACGAGUACCAAGAUCCGCCGCCACGCGCAGGAGAAAGAUGGGAGCGGCUGGAAGAUGGAAGAUGGCAGCUCUCUUUUCCCGUGUGAGGCCAAAGCUAGGGUUGUGGCAGAUGGCGCUGAUUCUGCUCUUGAGGCAUACACAAUAGUUAUUAAGGAGUGGCCACGGCAUGUUGGAGAAAACGAAAAUUAAGAUUUGAUCUUGAUUUGAAGCAUGGGGCGAAGGUAAGGUGUGCCUCUUCCCCUGGUGUACUGAAACUUCUUUUCUUGACAUGUUUCGGUAGGGCCUGGAUCUGGAGGAGGAAGAGAAUAUGCUGGUGAACAUCGAGCGUGCCGAUGGCGGCUCGAGCAAUGCAAGGUGACAAUGAGCGCUGGUCUUCCUCUGAUGUACUGCCUGCAGAUGCAGCUCACACACAUGGCCUCACUGUCUAGUGCCUGCAUCUGGAGGAGAAAGAGAAUAUGCCAGUGAACAUUGAGCGUGCUGGUGGCGACUCGAGCGAUGCAGGGCGACAGUGAGCGCCGGUGAGCGCAGGGUGUACUGCAGCAGUCUGGAUAGACAGCGGGAGCAGACUAAAAGGUUUGGAAGAAUCAGGCUAAGGGGUUGUAACAGCGCCAACUCAAUCGUGACCAAGCGGAGUUUGCUAGCCAUAAGGAAGUUGGUGAUGAAGGAUCUGACCACCACCGAAUGUGUCGGCUGCUAUCCGAGCCAUGUAUACGACAAACCCGGUAUGUCCAGCACAUUUCUUUUAUAUUGAUCACUUGUUCGGAAGUGUUUUAUGCAGGGUAAUAUUUUGAUUGAAAUAUAUUUCUGUGCAAAUGGAAAAUUCCCAACUGAUAUUAUGGGUAUUUGAAAGCCAUAAGGAAAUGCUGCGAUGUUUAGCUCGUACUCCUUCUUCCAUGUCCCUCGUAAGCGAAAUGAAUCGGCACUUAUUUUAGCUUGUCGUUCAGAAACAUUUGGUUCUGUUAGCUAUCGUUUUGUCGCCCCUGGGUGUUGCAGUCGGUUAUCUCUGCGACCCAAGCCUCCCACUCCCUCUGAUGCAUGCCGUGGUAGACCGGCGUGGCCGGCACCGGCAGGCCGAGAGUGCUGGCGGAAUGGUGGGGCUGCCGCCGGCGCCAAUCGGAGAGGGGAACGGUGGCGGAGAGAGGGAGUGACGCGGAGCUACCGCUGGGGCCUGCGGCGGCGGAGAUGACCGGUGAGAUGGUCCUGCCAUCUGGGGGUGUUGGGGUGGCUUUGGUGGCGGCUAGGGGCAUCGGUGGUCGCUGGAGGUGGUGGAGAGGAUGGGGAGGAGAGGUCAAGGAGGCAGUGUGAACGAGCGAGUAAGACGACAACUUUUACUCCUCUAACCACCAUGGAACUGAAGUACAAAAAUGUUUAGUGCAGUAAAUAGACAUCAUAGAUGAAUUCCAAGAAAAGAGUCCAAGUUCUUUCAGCUCGCAGUUUUCCAAAUAAACUCCUCCACCUAGGUUUGCCAACUCUGUCAGCAGUUGAUU